GCCAGGUGUGGUGGUGCAUGCCUGUAAUCCCAAUGGCUCAGGAGGCUGAGAUAGGAGGAUGGAGAGUUUGAAGCCAGCCUCAGCAAAAGUGAGGCACUAAGCAACUCAGUGAGACCCUGUCUCUA
rnacentral:sRNA from 1 species